rnacentral:rRNA from 1 species
UGGGGAAUUUUGGACAAUGGGCGAAAGCCUGAUCCAGCAAUGCCGCGUGUGUGAAGAAGGCCUUCGGGUUGUAAAGCACUUUUGUCCGGAAAGAAAUCCUUGGCUCUAAUACAGUCGGGGGAUGACGGUACCGGAAGAAUAAGCACCGGCUAACUACGUGCCAGCAGCCGCGGUAAUACGUAGGGUGCAAGCGUUAAUCGGAAUUACUGGGCGUAAAGCGUGCGCAGGCGGUUUGCUAAGACCGAUGUGAAAUCCCCGGGCUCAACCUGGGAACUGCAUUGGUGACUGGCAGGCUAGAGUAUGGCAGAGGGGGGUAGAAUUCCACGUGUAGCAGUGAAAUGCGUAGAGAUGUGGAGGAAUACCGAUGGCGAAGGCAGCCCCCUGGGCCAAUACUGACGCUCAUGCACGAAAGCGUGGGGAGCAAACAGGAUUAGUACCCUGGUAGUCCACGCCCUAAACGAUGUCAACUAGUUGUUGGGGAUUCAUUUCCUUAGUAACGUAGCUAACGCGUGAAGUUGACCGCCUGGGGAGUACGGUCG